rnacentral:rRNA from 1 species
CCCUUUGGGGUGUGACUGCGUACCUUUUGUAUAAUGGGUCAGCGACUUAUAUUCUGUAGCAAGGUUAACCGUAUAGGGGAGCCGCAGGGAAACCGAGUCUUAAUUGGGCGUUAAGUUGCAGGGUAUAGACCCGAAACCCGGUGAUCUAGCCAUGGGCAGGUUGAAGGUUGGGUAACACUAACUGGAGGACCGAACCGACUAAUGUUGAAAAAUUAGCGGAUGACCUGUGGCUGGGGGUGAAAGGCCAAUCAAACCGGGAGAUAGCUGGUUCUCCCCGAAAGCUAUUUAGGUAGCGCCUCGUGAAUUCAUCUCCGGGGGUAGAGCACUGUUUCGGCUAGGGGGCCAUCCCGGCUUACCAACCCGAUGCAAACUGCGAAUACCGGAGAAUGUUAUCACGGGAGACACACGGCGGGUGCUAACGUCCGUCGUGAAGAGGGAAACAACCCAGACCGCCAGCUAAGGUCCCAAAGUCAUGGUUAAGUGGGAAACGAUGUGGGAAGGCCCAGACAGCCAGGAUGUUGGCUUAGAAGCAGCCAUCAUUUAAAGAAAGCGUAAUAGCUCACUGGUCGAGUCGGCCUGCGCGGAAGAUGUAACGGGGCUAAACCAU